rnacentral:misc_RNA from 1 species
AGUCGUAACAAGGUUUCCGUAGGUGAACCUGCGGAAGGAUCAUUAACAUGUGUAACGAAGAGUUUGAGUGGGGGCAUGGGGGAGGGGAGUGAGAAAGUGGGAUGAACGCAAGUUUAUUCCACCUUCAUGUCGUGUCUAAGCGCAAGCUUAUUCGCAACAUCUCCGACUUCUUCCGGCUGCCCCAAAAACAUUAACAUACGAGUAAGGACAUUCAUACAACUACUAACAAUGGAUCUCUUGGCUCUC